rnacentral:misc_RNA from 1 species
GAUGAAGAACGCAGCGAAAUGCGAUAAGUAAUGUGAAUUGCAGAAUUCAGUGAAUCAUCGAAUCUUUGAACGCACAUUGCGCCCGCCAGUAUUCUGGCGGGCAUGCCUGUUCGAGCGUCAUUACAACCCUCAGGCCCCCGGGCCUGGCGUUGGGGAUCGGCGGAGCCCCCCGUGGGCACACGCCGUCCCCCAAAUGCAGUGGCGGUCCCGCCGCAGCUUCCAUCGCGUAGUAGCUAACACCUCGCGACUGGAGAGCGGCGCGGCCACGCCGUAAAACACCCAACUCUUCUGAAGUUGACCUCGAAUCAGGUAGGAAUACUCGCUGAACUUAAGCAUAUCAAUAAGCGGAGGA